rnacentral:rRNA from 1 species
GAUGAACGCUGGCGGCGUGCCUAAUACAUGCAAGUCGAGCGAACGGACGAGAAGCUUGCGUCUCUGAUGUUAGCGGCAGACGGGUGAGUAACACGUGUAUAACCUACCUAUAAUACGGGUAUAACCUCGGGAAACCGGAACUAAUCGCGGAUAAUAUUUUGAACCGCAGGGUUCGAAAGUGAAAUACGGUGUUGCGGGCACUUCUAGAUGGAUCCGCGCUGCAUUAGCUAGUUGGUAAGGUAACGGCUUACGAAGGCAAGGAUGCAUAGCCGAGCUCAGGGGGUGAUAGGCCACACUGGAGCUUAGACAGGGUCCUGGCGCCUGCGAGACGCCGCAGAAGCGUAUCUUACGCAACGGGCGAAAGCAUGACGGAACAACGCGGAGUGAGAUAUGACGGUCUUCGGUUCGGAAAACUCUGUUAUUAGUGAAGAACAUAUUUGUCAGUAAAUGUGGCGAGCUUGACGGUAACUAAUCAGAAAGCAACGGCUAACUACGUG